CCAAAGGCUCUUUUAAGAGCCACGACAGAUUUUUACCUUGUCAGCU
rfam:Salmo salar isolate Sally breed double haploid chromosome ssa29, whole genome shotgun sequence.